GGUUAAUUGGGUUUAGGCUAAUUGGGACUUUGGAUUUUGUAAUCGGGUUUGGGCUUUGGUUUGUAAUCUGGACUGAUGUUAUGGACAUUUAAAAUUUUGCUUUUAUGUUGGUUUUAUUUAUUUUAUUAUUUUUUAUCGGGCCGGGCAAAUUGGGCCUAUUACAAUAAUAAUAUAAGUACAACUCAAAAUGACAAUAUAUAAUAAGAUAAUGAAAAUAUGAUCGAAU
rnacentral:lncRNA from 1 species